CAGAUCGAUAUCGUUUCUUACGGUAAAGAGAAGCCGGCAGUGCUGGGUCACGACGAAGCGGCUUACGCUAAGAACCGUCGUGCCGUACUGGUUUACUAAUUUCUUGUGUAGACGAGUAACGAAUGAGCAGUAACUUCAGACGUCAUGUG
rnacentral:sRNA from 1 species